UGUGUAGGCGGUUUGGUAAGUCUGGUGUGAAAUCUCCCGGCUCAACUGGGAGGGUGCGCCGGAAACUGCCGGACUUCGAGUGCGGGAGAGGAAAGUGGAAUUCCUGGUGUAGCGGUGAAAUGCGUAGAUAUCAGGAGGAACACCGGUGGUGUAGACGGCUUUCUGGACCGUAACUGACGCUGAAACACGAAAGCGUGGGUAGCAAACAGGAUUAGAUACCCUGGUAGUCCACGCCCUAAACGAUGCACAUUUGGUGUGGGUCAUUCAGUUGAUCCGUGCCGGAGCUAACGCGUUAAAUGUGCCGCCUGGGGAGUACAGUCGCAAGGCUGAA
rnacentral:rRNA from 1 species